UACAGAGGUCUCGAGCGUUAGGCGGAAUCACUGGGCUUAAAGCGUGUGUAGGCGGAUCGGUAAGUACCUUGUGAAAUCCCACAGCUUAACUGUGGAACUGCUUGGUAUACUGCCAGUCUUGAGCCAGCUAGGGGCUACCGGAACAAAUGGUGGAGCGGUGAAAUGCGUAGAUAUCAUUUGGAACGCCAAUGGUGAAAACAGGUAGCUGGGGCUGUGCUGACGCUGAGACUCGAAAGCGUGGGGAGCAAACAGG
rnacentral:rRNA from 1 species